rnacentral:rRNA from 1 species
CCUACGGGCGGCAGCAGUGGGGAAUAUUGCACAAUGGGGGAAACCCUGAUGCAGCAACGCCGCGUGAGUGAAGAAGUAUUUCGGUAUGUAAAGCUCUAUCAGCAGGGAAGAAAAUGACAGUACCUGACUAAGAAGCCCCGGCUAACUACGUGCCAGCAGCCGCGGUAAUACGUAGGGGGCAAGCGUUAUCCGGAUUUACUGGGUGUAAAGGGAGCGUAGACGGCUGCGCAAGUCAGAAGUGAAAGCCCGGGGCUCAACCGCGGGACUGCUUUUGAAACUGUGUAGCUAGAGUGCAGGAGAGGAAAGCGGAAUUCCUAGUGUAGCGGUGAAAUGCGUAGAUAUUAGGAAGAACACCAGUGGCGAAGGCGGCUUUCUGGACUGAAACUGACGCUGAGGCACGAAAGCGUGGGGAGCGAACAGGAUUAGAUACCCCGGUAGUC